AAGAACUAACUGAUUCAGUGUAACAAAAGUAUAAGACAAGAACGUUCUCUUUCGUUGCUGCUCUUUCACAAACAACAGUAAUUAAUAGCAAGAUAAAAACAUACUAGCAACUGUCCUGUUUCUUCAUAUAUAGCAUUCUUCCUUUGGAGGAUCACCUGUAAGACAGAAACACCGAAGUGGAGGUGCCGUUCCCAAUUUACCUGUGAAGUAAGCAGGCCGGUGUGGCUCCCCUCCUCCCCUCAGAGGGUUGAGCCCCGGAC